AUGGCGGCGGCGCAAGUAGCGGGUUCUUUGACGAGCGGGCCGGCGAAAGAGGCGCAGGGGGAGCCACCCCUCGAGCAGGGCCGUGGGUUCCGCUGCUUGUCAGCCAGGCUCUGCGCCCUGCGACCGGAUGACAGCAGCUCCAGCCGCACCGAGCUCCACCUGCUCUUCGACCAGCUCAUCUCCGAGAACUACAGCGAGGGCAGCGGCGUGGCCCCGGAGGACGUCAGUACUCUUCUUGUCCAAGCUUGCCAACUGGUGCCUCUUAAUCAGAAUCAUCUUGUCAGCAAAUUGUCUCAGCUUAUCCACCAUUUACUUAACACACUACAGGUGAUUGUUGAUGAACAGAACCUGGAUUUCCUGUUGGCAUAUACUAUUUCUGCUAUUCAGCAGUGCAGUUCCUGGACACACAUGCAGAUUCUCCAAGCCUUAGCAGCCCUGGUUUACUGCAACGGCUCCAAGUGUCAAAAGUACCUCCCAGACUUGCUUGGCAAGAGCGGACUCUUGAUGAAGCUGAGUGACUUGGCUCAGUCGGACCCUGAAGUUAGGAGAGCUGCAGUGCACUGUAUGGCAAACUUAUGUCUCAGUGUGCCAGGACAGCCGUACUUGGAGGAGCCCUACCAAAAUAUCUGCUUCCAAGCUUUCUUGACCACUUUACAGUCUCCAAAAUCAUCUGAUAUGGAUGAUAUCACGUUUUGCAUGUUGUUACAAAAUGCAUUAAAAGGUAUACAGUCUCUUCUAAAUGGUGGGAAGAUGAAACCGACACAGACUGAUGAACUUGGAGCUCUUCUGGCUGUGCUAAAGAAAACCAUGUUCCAUGGACUCCCUGGACUAAACAUAGAGAUGCCCACGGUGUUGUACCCCACUCCACUUCCUCAGUAUGAUGGACGACCACCCAUCAAACCGCAGCAGACAGAAUCCAGCACUUCUCGACCAAUUGUGAAUAAAAGGAAAAAAUCAAAAGUAAAAGCGAAGAAAAUCCAGCAAGGAGAGGAGGAGGAGGAAGAAUCCAGUGGUGAAAGAGAAGUAGCCCCAGUCACUGGCUCAGGCAGACUGAACCCGCAUAAAGGGGACGCUCAGUGCCCCUCCUCCCUGGGUGUUUCGAGUUUGCCAUUAGCUGGAAGUGGAGCUGCAGGAAAAGACCAAGUCUCCUCAUCCUUCAGUUCUUCCAGUUGGAAGAGAGUCAGCAGUAGUGAGUCAGACUAUUCUGAUGCUGAAGGAGGCAUGCAGAGUAAAGUGAGGUCUUACCAAGCCAAAGUUCGCCAAGGAGCAUUAGCCUGUUUUCUUUCUACUAUAAAAUCAAUAGAAAAAAAAGUUCUUUAUGGCUACUGGUCAGCCUUUGUUCCUGAUACACCUGAGCUUGGAAGCCCACAGUCUGUGUCCUUGAUGACUCUUACAUUAAAAGAUCCUUCUCCAAAGACGCGUGCCUGUGCUCUGCAAGUUUUAUCUGCCAUCUUGGAAGGCUCAAAGCAGUUUCUUUCUGUUGCUGAAGAUACCAGUGACCACAGAAGGGCUUUCACUCCCUUUUCUGUAAUGAUCGCUUCUAGCAUUAAAGAGUUGCACAGAUGUCUUUUGUUAGCUUUGGUGGCUGAAUCAUCCUCACAGACCCUUACUCAGAUAAUUAAGUGCCUUGCAAACUUAGUAUCAAAUUCACCUUAUAACCGUCUGAAACUCAGCCUGCUGACCAAAGUCUGGAACCAGAUAAAGCCUUAUAUCCGCCACAAAGAUGUUAAUGUUCGUGUGUCCAGUCUCACACUAUUGGGGGCCAUAGUGUCCACUCACGCACCUUUACCUGAAGUCCAGCUACUUUUACAACAGCCCUGUUCUUCUGGACUCAGCAAUAGCAAUUCAGCCACUCCUCACGUCAGUCCUCCUGAUUGGUGGAAAAAAGGCCCUUCAGGACCCUUUCUGGAAGAAGCCGCAGUUAGCUCACCAAAGGUGUCUUCAGAGCCCUGCUGGCUCAUUCGACUUUGCAUUUCCAUUGUUGUUCUGCCCAAGGAAGAUGCCUGUUCAGGUAGUGAUGCUGGCUCCACAGGAGGAAGCACCUAUGAGCCAUUCCCCUUGCGACUGGAGGCCUUACAGGUGUUGGCUCAUCUGGCAAGGGGCUACUUUUCAAUGACUCAGGUCUACUUGAUGGAGCUUGGAGAGGUGAUUUGCAAGUGCCUGGGGGAGGCAGAUCCAUCUGUCCAGCUUCAUGGAGCAAAGCUUCUGGAAGAACUGGGUACAGGCUUAAUACAACAGUAUAAACCAGAUUCUUCCAUAGCACCUGAUCAGAGAGUGCCAGUCAGCUUGGUGGUGAUGUUCUGGACUGUGAUGCUGAACGGUCCUUUACCCAGAGCCCUGCAGAAUUCAGAGCAUCCGACUCUGCAGGCGAGCGCCUGUGAUGCCCUGUCUUCCAUCUUGCCAGAAGCCUUCAGCAAUCUGCUGAGUGACAGGCAGAUCCUGUGCAUCACCAUGCUGCUGGGGCUGAAUGACAGCAAGAACCGAUUAGUGAAAGCUGCGACCUCUCGGGCCCUUGGGGUCUACGUGCUUUUUCCGUGUCUCAGACAGGAUGUCAUAUUUGUUGCAGACACAGCAAAUGCAAUAUUGAUGUCACUUCAAGACAAGUCUCUUAAUGUCCGGGCCAAAGCAGCCUGGUCCCUAGGCAACCUGACAGACACUCUGAUUGUCAACAUGGAAACACCAGACCCAAGUUUCCAGGAAGAAUUCUCUGGCCUCCUGCUCUUGAAGAUGCUGCGAUCAGCUAUAGAGGCAUCCAAGGAUAAAGACAAGGUAAAAAGCAAUGCAGUCCGGGCCCUUGGAAAUUUGCUUCAUUUUCUGCAACCAUCUCAUAUAGAAAAACCCAGAUUUGCUGAAAUCAUCGAGGAGGCUAUCCAGGCCCUAAUUUCUACUGUUCUAAUUGAGGCUGCCAUGAAAGUCCGAUGGAAUGCUUGUUACGCAAUGGGGAAUGUAUUUAAAAAUUCUGCUCUUCCCUUAGGAACAGCCCUGUGGACCUCCCAGGCCUACAACGCCCUGACAUCAGUUGUGACAUCAUGCAAGAACUUCAAAGUGCGCAUCAGAUCUGCCGCUGCCCUUUCUGUCCCGGGCAAGAGAGAGCACUAUGGAUCUGUUGACCAGUACGCUCAGAUCUGGAAUGCAUUGGUCACUGCCUUACAGAAGAGUGAAGACACCACAGACUUUUUGGAAUUCAAGUACUGUGCUAGCCUACGGACCCAAAUCUGCCAGGCACUGAUUCACCUCUUGAGCUUGGCCAGCGCCUCAGACCUGUCCUGCAUCAAAGAAACCCUUGAAUUGAAUGGGGACAUGGUCCAGUCCUAUAUCCUACAAUUUUUAAAAUCAGGAACAGAGAGAGAUGACACUGGAGCACCCCACAACCCGCAGGAAAGAGACCAGAUGGUCAAAACAGCCCUGGAGCACAUAAGCAGUGUCCAGGCACUGGCUGGCGACACAGCCAAAAGGGCCAUCAUGGGCUAUUUAGAAGAUAUCCUGGCCAUUUAUUUUGACUCAUCUGGAUCACAAGUAGCACUCUUAGGAUUAACAAAUCGGUGUCCAGGUUUCUGAAAACAGAUGUUAAUAUUCGUAUGCAGGGAAAAAGCAAGGUCCUAGCCCACCCUGUCUCUCCCACUGCAUGCAGCUGUAGUGCCUGGACUCAAUGCAUGGAGCAGCUAUCUUGGAAAGGAAAGAAUAACAGGAAGAUCAGGGAAGGAAAGGGGAACUCCGAGUACCACCUAACUGGCACUGCAGGACCAGAAACUAAAAUCAGAGACCAAUAAAGAAGAGAAGGGUCCUCCUACAAGUGUUUCUCCUUGCUUCCUAAUUAAAUGUCAGUGACCUCACUUCUCCCUCUCCUGAUUGACACCCAGCUGUGGGCUUGCUUGGCUCAAGGAAGAAUCAUGGAUCUGUGAACUUUGGCAGAAGGUAGGGACCUCAUCUCACUCAACCGACAUCUAGAGAGACUCUCCAUCUGCUAGUGUCCUGGUCCAGCUGCCUCACUCAUAGAGGAGACUGAGUCCCAGAGAGGAAGGGUAACUUGCUUAGGGUCGCCCAGCUAGUAAGCAGCAGGGCUAGGCCUGGAAUACAAGUCUUCUGCGUCCAAGGUCAGUGCUCACUUUUUUUAAAAAGUUUUUAAAAUAAAAUUCUCUUUUAAACUUGGACAAGGAGAACUGUAGCAUCCAUGGGACCCUAAAUAAAAUUCAUUUGUUUAAUGCAUUCAUUCAACAAAUACUGAUGAGUGGGAUAUGCCAAUAUAUGAUUGCCUGGCAGCACUAAGGAGCCAUCAAGGUUUGAGGUCAUGAAUCUAAAGUGUGAGCUGCCAGCCUAGCUGAGCAUUUUUCUCGAACUUCAUUCAGGUACAUGGGGUCAGGUGCUAAGUGAGCAGAGAGUCAGAUCUAACCAGGGUUGUGAUAUUGCCAAAGGAGUGUGAUAAGGGAAGGGGACAAGAAUUGAGGGGAUGUAAAGAAGUGAAUACGAUGAAAAAUCAUAGGAUUUAAACGUGAAUUUUAUUAUAAAAACUUUUUUUUUUUAAUUUCACACAAUGAAUUUUGAAACCGAGUUGUGAUGCACGUUCAGGUUGAGAUGGUAAUAUUGUCAUCUUUGUUUGGAAGCUGUCUUGAGAGUGUUUGCUUGGGCAGGUGCAACUUGGAGACAGUGGAGGCUCUGCUUGAUUUAAAUUGUUGUUUGAGCCAGUGCUCGACCUGAGAGCCUCAGGACUUUCCUUCCUCCGGAAGGAGCCUUUUGAGACAAAUCUAGGGGCUGGUCAAAGCUCAGGAGCUGCAGCUCAACUUCUAAAGCCCUUUUAUAGUGUUAUUUGUAUAAGUAAAUAGUUGGCUUCCUAUUUCAGGGAGGGACAUAUUUGUCCUCAAGGCUGCCUCGUGUCCUGGGCAACCACGGGGUGCUGGAAAACACAACUGAUCCUCUCCUGACGUUGUUUUGAAAUAGCAAGGGCAAUUUGGACCCUUCCACCACAAAAAUCAAUUGUAUCCUGAAGCUGAAAUGCAAGCCACCCUGCGUCCCCCACUCAGUUUUGUAUUCCGUCCAUCCCCUACCUCACUGUAGCACUUACUAAGAAUCUGGCCUCCUUUCCACUCAUCAUAGGAGCCCAGGCGGAUGAUCUGCAUUACUUAGUUUUCAUUGAUGUCAGCGGUGGUAAUGAUUAAGUGGAAACACCCCACCCCAUUCAAACGUCUCCCUCUUCCCUGCUGAUCCCCAUUGCGAGAGAAAGUGCAGUGUGCCUUCCAAUAUUCCUCCCAGAACUUGUGGCUGGAGUGCAAGUGAGGUGAAACAGUGGAAAGCAAGUCCUCUCGAUUCCAGUCACACCACCACCUUCCAGCAGCUCCAAAUGUCAGCCUCCUCCCCAGGUGGAUGCAGCAGUCUUUGGAAAAACUCAAUGGAUAUUUCACUACAGUUGGUACCAAACAAUAACUGAAGGUAUAAACAAAGCAGAAGUAUAUGCAUAUAUAAAAGUGUACCAAGAUGCAUACUUCUGAUGUGUUCUCUUUACGUAAAUUGUAACCCAGGAUAAAAAUUUUAAUAAAGCAGAAUUCUAGAAUCCUAACUAAUGUAGGAUCUAGGCAUGGGGGCAAUCAAGAAUGCCGUUACCCACUUUAAGAUCCCAAUGUUCUGGGUUGCCUUUGACAAGAGGACAUCAAAACAGUGAAGAAUGAUUGCUGAUUGUUGUUUCAAAAACAGAACAAUAAAAGGUAAGUCACCCCACCACCACACACACAUACACUUGCCCUCACAUUCUCAAUCCCUAGAAUAGAUCUGAAAAAGAAAAGCCCAAGAAAUUCCAAGCAUGCAUACCUCCUCAGAUAAGACAGAAAUGGAAGAAAACCAAACUUUUUAAAGUAAGCAUUUUGAUCUUCAUGCAAACAUGGAGUUAAUCUUGGGACAGCUAAGCACAAUUACACAGAUGAAUUCAUUGUGUGAAAUGGUCAUUGAGCGUAGAGAAUGUUAGUGCCAGUUCAGAGUCCAAGCUCUGUAGGGGUCAUACCUGAAUCUGCUGAGCUGAGCACAUGGAAACCUCGGUGUGCAUUCAGGCUUGACCACUCUUUUUAAUUUAUUUCAGAGCUGCUCACUGGGGUGGCUUCAGGAAAUGCAAAUAGAAUGUCCAUAGUGGUGUUUGAAGAC